GAAAUAUUUUAUCAAACUAAUGAGUGUCGAAAUGCCUCCCGAGGGGACAGGUAUUCAUCAGGAUUUUCCAAGGAUUUUAUCGCUCCGAUAAAUGACGUGAGUGGCUGGCGGUAAUGACAGGAGACACCAGCUUGAAUGGAGGGAAUUAGCGGACAGUUCCACCGUUAUAAUUAGCAUCAAGAAACACCGUAAUUAGCUAGUUGUUGCUCAAUCCACUGACGAUGUUGUAUCACAUCAACGUACACUGCUGGCACGUUGGUCUGGCCACAGCCAAUUCCCCAAGAUACGAUUCCCACCUUCAGACGUUGGACAAACUAGAGGACCCCCGCCAUCGCCAGUACAAGUGUCUUUACCGGGCUCUCCACCUGCGCAUCUGAAGCUCUUGUGGAGCUGGAAGUACGGCCCGAGCUUCGUAGCCCUCAAACGUGACUCGCAUUCCUGUUUCUCCACUAAGGACGCCAGACACCGCGUUCCGGGCAUAAAAAGCACUGCCUGUUGAGGUAGACAAAUGGGCACUACAUUAACUGCGUAAAUAACCGGAGUUGCGAGAAUUAAAACAGCAACAUCGUGAUAUAAUCCUCCAGAGUAAUAAUUAGGAUGCGUAACGAUCGAUUGUACAUCAGCUUCUUGAAACGGCGAAGGCUCGUCAUUGUUAGCUGUGUUCCAUUCGCCAAAGCGAGCCACUAAGAGUCCCGGUUGGCGACUGCGUGAAAACGGAAUUAAAUCGUCUUAAUUAUAUUGUUCAUAAUGAAUAAAGUCAAGACGAGGGGAACUCACUUUAAGACGCAAUGAGCGGCUGUCAAAACAGCCCUAGAAUUAAUCAUCGAUGCACCACAGAGGAAAACAUUGGAUCCCCCGGGCUCUCUGAUGAGCAGGGCCACCAUCCAAGGAAAUUCUGCAAAACUCGUAUUUCCAAAGGCGGCUGUGCACAUCCCUGAAAGGAACAUGCGAGUGAGUGAUUGUAGGGGAAUUUGAGAAAUUAAUUUCAUUGGGUUUUGCUGGAUAUUAAGAGAGAAAAAAUGAAACAACGAGAAACAAUUCCAGGACUGGACCUUUGCUGAAGAAGAUAGCAAUUUUUCUUUUAAAUUCCCUAUCAAUUAAAUUUAGUUAAUUAUUACCUGACGAGCACGCGGGGCCCCUGACACCACAAACAACAUUUCCAUAACUAGGCAGAGGAAGAUUAACGAUAUAUGUAGCAGAAUCUGCCGAGGGAUCACUGUUUCCUCUCCUGUUGCUGAUAAUUCCAUUCGAUCGACAGCAGACUUCAUCAGAUACCAUGCACAAUCCGAAUCGAGGGUCGAUGAUGCCAGCGCCAUCAAUAGUCACGAUAAAGUCUGGAUCACAGGUCGA